GACGAACGCUGGCGGCGUGCCUAAUACAUGCAAGUAGAACGCACAGUUUAUACCGUAGCUUGCUACACCAUAGACUGUGAGUUGCGAACGGGUGAGAAACGCGUAGGUAACCUGCCUGGUAGCGGGGGAUAACUAUUGGAAACGAUAGCUAAUACCGCAUAAUAUUGAUUAUUGCAUGAUAAUUAAUUGAAAGGUGCAAUUGCACCACUACCAGAUGGACCUGCGUUGUAUUAGCUAGUAGGUGAGGUAACGGCUCACCUAGGCGACGAUACAUAGCCGACCUGAGAGGGUGAUCGGCCACACUGGGACUGAGACACGGCCCAGACUCCUACGGGAGGCAGCAGUAGGGAAUCUUCGGCAAUGGACGAAAGUCUGACCGAGCAACGCCGCGUGAGUGAAGAAGGUUUUCGGAUCGUAAAGCUCUGUUGUAAGAGAAGAACGGGUGUGAGAGUGGAAAGUUCACACUGUGACGGUAUCUUACCAGAAAGGGACGGCUAACUACGUG
rnacentral:rRNA from 1 species